GUCCAGACCAAUCCCAGCAUGAAGAUCCUUUAUCUGCUGUUCGCAUUUCUUUUCCUUGGUCUGUCUCAACCAGGGAAUGCCCAUCACCGCUGUGCUAAAAAUGGAGGACGCUGCUUUCAGUAUCGGUGUCCUCAUUACCUCAAAUGCAUUGGGCAAGUGGACUGUCAAUAUGGAUGGAGAUGCUGCAGACGCUGGCAUGGAAAAUAAUGCCAUCUCCAUCUAACACCUGGAACGUCUUCAAGAUAUGGCCAAUGACCUGAGAUUACCGCCUGCUAUCGCUUUUUCUUUCUUUACAUGAAUCAAAUUUCUAUCUAUCAAACUUGAAAACAUUAAUGCAUUGAAGUAAAAUUUGGCAAAUAUUCCUUGCAAUAAAGCUAAAUGAGCAUU